UCCAGUGUUCCGUGUCUUAUUGCC
rnacentral:siRNA from 1 species